GCCGACAGUCGUCGACAGGUGGUCGUGGCUGCCGGUUUCCUGGAUCGGAAGCGCGUCCAUGUCGGCGCGCAGGCCGAUCACCCGGCCGCCGGUUCCA
rnacentral:tRNA from 1 species